GGAGCAAACGAAGUGAAGCAUGUUAUUUAAUACGAAAGUACGCGUAAAAUCUUACCAGUUCUUGCAUAGCCAAUCCCUCUUAUUUUUGAUAAUAAACUACUCUCUCCUUAUUCAUAGGAGGGAGGAGAAGAUUUUUAAAUUUAAGACUGGAUUGAGUGAUAAUUAUUUAUUAAUAAAUUUUAUUCCUUUUAUCGCGUCCGCGGUAAAAUAGUGUAAGAAUAUUUAUUUAUAUUAAUUUAUCCGUUUACAGGUGUUGCAUG
rnacentral:rRNA from 1 species